CCUACGGGAGGCAGCAGUGGGGAAUCUUGCACAAUGGGGGAAACCCUGAUGCAGCGACGCCGCGUGAGUGAAGAAGUAAUUCGUUACGUAAAGCUCUAUCAGCAGGGAAGAACAUGACGGUAACUGAGUAAGAAGCCCCGGCUAACUACGUGCCAGCAGCCGCGGUAAUACGAAGGUGGCAAGCGUUCUCCGGAUUUACUGGGUGUAUAGGGAGCGGAGACGGUUCGUCAAGUCUGGGGUGAAAUGCCGAGGCUUAACUGCGGAAGUGCAUUGGAAACUGGCGAACUAGAGUGCGGGAGAGGUGAGCGGAAUUCCUAGUGUAGCGGUGAAAUGCGUAGAUAUUAGGAGGAACACCAGUGGCGAAGGCGGCUUUCUGGACCGUAACUGACGUUGAGGCUCGAAAGCGUGGGGAGCAAACAGGAUUAGAUACCCGAGUAGUC
rnacentral:rRNA from 1 species